CCCUCUAAUCAGGGACUGAUUUAGACCUGGGACACCAGGUGGGUGAUUCCCCUCUAAUCAGGGACUGAUUUAGACCUGGGACACCAGGUGGGUGAUUCCCCUCUAAUCAGGGACUGAUUUAGACCUGGGACACCAGGUGGGUGAUUCCCCUCUAUUCAGGGACUGAGUUAGACCUGGGACACCAGGUGGGUGAUUCCCCUCUAAUCAGGGACUGAUUUAGACCUGGGACACCAGGUGGGUGAUUCCCCUCUAAUCAGGGACUGAUUUAGACCUGGGACACCAGGUGGGUGAUUCCCCUCUAAUCAGGGACUGAUUUAGACCUGGGACACCAAGUGGGUGAUUCCCCUCUAAUCAGGGACUGAUUUAGACCUGGGACACCAGGUGGGUGAUUCCCCUCUAAUCAGGGACUGAUUUAGACCUGGGACACCAGGUGGGUGAUUCCCCUCUAAUCAGGGACUGAUUUAGACCUGGGACACCAGGUGGGUGAUUCCCCUCUAAUCAGGGACUGAGUUAGACCUGGGACACCAUGUGGGUGAUUCCCCUCUAAUCAGGGACUGAUU